rnacentral:lncRNA from 1 species
AAAAUCAUAUGUUUUCUUAAUCCGUGUGCAUAAACCUAGAACGAUAAAUAAAAUGAAACGGAGGGAGCAGUCAUUUUCAAUAAAAGCAUGUGAGUGACUAGAUUAACUAGGGUUCGGUUGCGCGGGGUUCGUCAAUGUUGUAUAUCUUAAAAAUACUGAUUUCUUAUAUCCCGGAUAGAAGUGCUCUCAUUUCUAUACUUCCAAAGAUCAUAACUCACAGGGGCAAAACAUGUAGUCAAUUAACUCGUAUAUGACAAUUGUUUUUAGAAGAAACGCCAAUUAUGUGCUCCAAUAAAAAGUUACCAAUAGCUUCAUCACUUUAUCCGACUAUUCAGUAGUACAUAUCUCUUCUAACAAAAACUUGAUUAAUAGGUCAGCAUGAAC